AUGCAACUACCAUAUCAUCAAAAUCUAAUCACACAUGCACAUGCAUUAGGUAAGUUACCUUUGCUAAUUUUAAACCCAACAUCACACAAGCUCUCAAGGGAUGGCCGAAUGCUUCUUUUGUUACCCAACUAAUCAUUCGACAAUUUCAUCCCCUUUGCCACCCUUUUAUGCCUAAUUAUCUAAAUCAAGAUAAGAUCAUCAACAUGCCUAACCAUAGCCGAAUGUGCAACAUUAAUCUAUCACCUCUAUCUCUUAAAUACUAUCAAGUUCAUUUACUUCUAAUUUCUUAAGUUCCACAUCUUAAUGCCCAUUAUACAUAAUCAAAUUUAACAUCAUCUAUAUAUUUACUCAUAUGGCCGAAUAUACAUACCCC
rnacentral:lncRNA from 1 species